GAGUUUGAUCAUGGCUCAGAUUGAACGCUGGCGGCAGGCCUAACACAUGCAAGUCGAGCGGAUGAAGGGAGCUUGCUCCUGGAUUCAGCGGCGGACGGGUGAGUAGUGCCUAGGAAUCUGCCUGGUAGUGGGGGAUAACGUCCGGAAACGGGCGCUAAUACCGCAUACGUCCUGAGGGAGAAAGUGGGGGAUCUUCGGACCUCACGCUAUCAGAUGAGCCUAGGUCGGAUUAGCUAGUUGGUGGGGUAAAGGCCUACCAAGGCGACGAUCCGUAACUGGUCUGAGAGGAUGAUCAGUCACACUGGAGCUGAGACACGGUCCAGACUCCUACGGGAGGCAGCAGUGGGGAGUAUUGGACAAUGGGCGAAAGCCUGAUCCAGCCAUGCCGCGUGUGUGAAGAAGGUCUUCGGAUUGUAAAGCACUUUAAGUUGGGAGGAAGGGCAGUAAGUUAAUACCUUGCUGUUUUGACGUUACCAACAGAAUAAGCACCGGCUAACUUCGUGCCAGCCGCCGA
rnacentral:rRNA from 1 species